rnacentral:misc_RNA from 1 species
UUUUGAUCAAUUUCUCAAGACUCAGACACAGCAUUCCUGACCACAGUAGCGUUUCGAGGGAGUCUCCGGCGGGCACAGGCCCGGGGGCGGCAUUCGCGAACCCCCCGGCGGCCAACCAUGGCGGGCCCGCCGAAGCAACACGGUACAAUCGACAAGGGUGGGAGGUCUGGGCCCCCACCCCCCGGGAAGGGGAUAGGGACCCGUACUCGGUAAUGAUCCUUCCGCAGGUUCACCUACGGAAA